GGGCUACUAGCUCAGUUGGCUAGAGCGCUUGCUCGACACGCAAGAGGUCAUAGGUUCGAGUCCUAUGUGGCCCA
rnacentral:tRNA from 1 species